UGCAGAGUAAGGAGAUAGGGUGGUACAAAUCUGAUGAAGGAAGCUGGUGUUUGAGUCAAGCCAUGUCAGUCAAUUUCCUUCCUUAGAUCAGAGCUGGGAUCUCUGAAGUGUAUACCACACUGAGCUUCCUGCAGUCAUAAAACUGGAUCUGCCACUGUCAUUCCCCUGUAGCAGAAAUGAGAAAAAUGGUAAUAAG